rnacentral:tRNA from 2 species
UGCAGAGUGGAGCAAUCGGCAGCUCGUCAGCUUCACAAGCUGAAGGUUGCGGGUUCGAGUCCCGCCUCCGCGA